AACGAACGCUGGCGGCAGGCUUAACACAUGCAGGUCGAGCGCCCCGCAAGGGGAGCGGCAGACGGGUGAGUAACGCGUGGGAAUCUACCCAUCUCUACGGAAUAACGCAUGGAAACGUGUGCUAAUACCGUAUACGUCCUUCGGGAGAAAGAUUUAUCGGAGAUGGAUGAGCCCGCGUUGGAUUAGCUAGUUGGUGGGGUAAAGGCCUACCAAGGCGACGAUCCAUAGCUGGUCUGAGAGGAUGAUCAGCCACACUGGGACUGAGACACGGCCCAGACUCCUACGGGAGGCAGCAGUGGGGAAUAUUGGACAAUGGGCGCAAGCCUGAUCCAGCCAUGCCGCGUGAGUGAUGAAGGCCCUAGGGUUGUAAAGCUCUUUCACCGGUGAAGAUAGUGACGGUAACCGGAGAAGAAGCCCCGGCUAACUUCGUGCCAGCCGCCGCGGUAAUAC
rnacentral:rRNA from 1 species